rnacentral:rRNA from 1 species
UACAGAGGUCUCAAGCGUUGUUCGGAUUCAUUGGGCGUAAAGGGUGCGUAGGUGGCGCGAUAAGUCGGGUGUGAAAUCUCGGAGCUUAACUCCGAAAUUGCAUUCGAUACUGCCGUGCUUGAGGACUGGAGAGGAGACUGGAAUUCAUGGUGUAGCAGUGAAAUGCGUAGAGAUCAUGAGGAAGACCAGUGGCGAAGGCGGGUCUCUGGGCUGACACUGACGCUCAUGCACGAAAGCGUGGGGAGCAAACAGG